rnacentral:ncRNA from 1 species
AUCCACUAGGGGAGCUUCGGCUGAGAAACUUUAUGUUGACCCUUGGAACCUGAUUUUCCGGAUAAUGCCGGCGGAGGGAAGUGGCGAUUG